CACGUAGGGCGCAAGCGUUGUCCGGAAUUAUUGGGCGUAAAGAGCUCGUAGGCGGUCUGUUGCGUCCGCUGUGAAAACUCGGGGCUUAACCCCGAGCCUGCAGUGGAUACGGGCAGACUAGAGGUAGGUAGGGGAGAAUGGAAUUCCCGGUGUAGCGGUGAAAUGCGUAGAUAUCAGGAGGAACACCGGUGGCGAAGGCGGGUCUCUGGGCCGAUACUGACGCUGAGGAGCGAAAGCGUGGGGAGCGAACAGG
rnacentral:rRNA from 1 species